rnacentral:rRNA from 1 species
CAGUCGAACGGGGUCUUAGUGCGGAAGUUUUCGGAUGGAAGGAUUAAGACUUAGUGGCGGACGGGUGAGUAACGCGUGGGUAACCUGCCCUGUACAGGGGGAUAACAGUUGGAAACGGCUGCUAAAACCGCAUAACAUGGAGAUACCGCAUGAUAUUUCCAUCAAAUAUUUAUAGGUACAGGAUGGGCCCGCGUCUGAUUAGCCAGUUGGCAGGGUAAUAGCCUACCAAAGCGACGAUCAGUAGCCGGCUUGAGAGAGUGACCGGCCACAUUGGGACUGAGACACGGCCCAAACUCCUACGGGAGGCAGCAGUGGGGGAUACUGCACAAUGGGGGAAACCCUGAUGCAGCGACGCCGCGUGAGUGAAGAAGUAUUUCGGUAUGUAAAGCUCUAUCGGCAGGGAAGAAAAAAAUGACAGUACCUGACUAAGAAGCCCCGGCUAACUACGUGCCAGCAGCCGCGGUAAUACGUAGGGGGCAAGCGUUAUCCGGAUUUACUGGGUGUAAAGGGAGCGUAGGCGGCCAUGCAAGUCAGAAGUGAAAACCCGGGGCUCAACCCUGGGAGUGCUUUUGAAACUGUGCGGCUAGAGUGUCGGAGGGGUAAGUGGAAUUCCUAGUGUAGCGGUGAAAUGCGUAGAUAUUAGGAGGAACACCAGUGGCGAAGGCGGCUUACUGGACGAUGACUGACGCUGAGGCUCGAAAGCGUGGGGAGCAAACAGGAUUAGAUACCCUGGUAGUC